rnacentral:rRNA from 1 species
AGUGAACGCUGGCGGUAGGCCUAACACAUGCAAGUCGAACGGCAGCACAGUAAGAGCUUGCUCUUACGGGUGGCGAGUGGCGGACGGGUGAGGAAUACAUCGGAAUCUACUUUUUCGUGGGGGAUAACGUAGGGAAACUUACGCUAAUACCGCAUACGACCUACGGGUAAAAGCAGGGGAUCUUCGGACCUUGCGCGAUUGAAUGAGCCGAUGUCGGAUUAGCUAGUUGGCGGGGUAAAGGCCCACCAAGGCGACGAUCCGUAGCUGGUCUGAGAGGAUGAUCAGCCACACUGGAACUGAGACACGGUCCAGACUCCUACGGGAGGCAGCAGUGGGGAAUAUUGGACAAUGGGCGCAAGCCUGAUCCAGCCAUACCGCGUGGGUGAAGAAGGCCUUCGGGUUGUAAAGCCCUUUUGUUGGGAAAGAAAAGCAGCAGGUUAAUACCCCGCUGUUCUGACGGUACCCAAAGAAUAAGCACCGGCUAACUUCGU